UACGUAGGGUGCAAGCGUUGUCCGGAAUUAUUGGGCGUAAAGAGCUCGUAGGCGGUUUGUCGCGUCUGCUGUGAAAACGCGAGGCUCAACCUCGCGCCUGCAGUGGGUACGGGCAGAUUAGAGUGCGGUAGGGGGAGAUUGGAAUUCCUGGUGUAGCGGUGGAAUGCGCAGAUAUCAGGAGGAACACCGGUGGUGUAAACGGCUUUCUGGACCAUAACUGACGCUGAGGCACGAAAGCGUUGGGUAGCAAACAGG
rnacentral:rRNA from 1 species